UCAUACAAACAUCUAAUCACAAACAAGCCAAUAGCACUAGGUAGGAUAACAUCCGGCGCAUUCAUGUGGAUCAGCCCGGGAACAAACAUGGGAGUAACCCAGCCGAAGCACAUCAGCAAUUCUGCAGGUUUGACUUUGGUUCACGACAAACACCAGGAGUGCAGUUUUGUUAUGGAGAACAUGCCAAGACAAGGGAACAAGCUGCGGUGAGAGAUGAGGGUCUGCGCUACUGGAGCUGAGCAGCAUAACAAGGGUGUGGUGGCUCGGAGAAAGGAAUUUCCUCGGGACAGAACUAAUGUUUUAUCACUUACAACAGACGAACAGGACAGACUUUGACCGCAUAACCAAAUAAGAAAGUCGACCAUUUUAAAAGGAAUACAGGAGUCCAUUUUCGUCCACAGCGGAACUCCCUCCAGUUAAUUAAAGUACGCAAUGAGAGCAACAGGAAACCACGCAACAGGGAUUUGAGCUUUUUAACAUGCCAUUCUCCCAGUGAGGUCGUAAGUUCAGUCCCCCUCUCAGUACACUGCGGCACACUGUUGUGAUACAGCAACAUUGGCUUCAGGCAAUGUUCUGAGAAGUGGCUUCGAUAAUGAGCUCAGCACAGAUGUGCAGUUCCACCAGGUGUUGGGAAAUUGCUGCUGGCUAGCCUGAAGGAACUGAGUGGGAGAUACCUGGGGGAAGGAUUCUCUGUAAUCUGGAAACUCGGACGUUCAGAAGUUGCAACACCAAGGAGGAGCUUCUGCAAGGAUUAUGGUUUGACGACAUUAAAGGAAACCACUUACUAUUUGCUGGGACUUCCAUCGCGCUUCUCUUUUUCUACAUAGCCGAAUCAUGAUAGCUUCGU